rnacentral:rRNA from 1 species
AUGGCGCCGCCGGGCUCGCCCGCUCCCUUCACCGUCGGCGGGCCGAUGCUGAACAUGAUAUUCCAAGCGGCGUCCGACGGAGAUCUCCACCUCUUCAAGAGGCUGGUGACGAUGCUGGACAUGGGCAGGGGCCGCCUCAAGGAGACGGUGGAGGCGCUGAGGGUGGAGGAUGCCGGGUUGCUUCAGGGUCUCGGGGCGCUGCACGUCGCCACUAACCGAGGGAGGAUGGAGGUUUGCAGGUACCUGGUCGGGGACCUGCAGGUUGAUGUGAACGCCGUCGACAAGGGAGGUAGAACACCUCUGUUUUUUGCGAUAUCUUGUAAGGGUGUGGGUAUUGCCAAAUAUCUUCUUGAUCAUGGUGCCGAUCCAAACAAAAGCUGCCACAAUGGGCUUUCCCCUUUACAUGAAGCCACUACAUCAGGAGAUUGUGAAACUGUUAAACUAUUGCUUGCUAAAGGAGCCUAUAUUGACCCGGUAGCCUUUUGUGGGACACCACUUCAUUGCGCCGCUACUCAAGGGCAUGAUGGCAUUUUGAAGAUUUUGCUGGACCACAAUGCAGAUCGCAAUAAAGAGGUAAAUGGCAAGACGCCUCUCAUUGCAGCUAUAGAUGCUGACUCAAGGAACUGCAUGCUUCUCCUGAUUAGGGCUGGUGCUGAUGCCAAGGGAGCUUUAACCUAUGCUGUGGAGAAUCUCCAUUCUCAAAAACUCGUUUCAACUGACUUCGUCAAUUGCAUUAAGGAGGAUGCUGCUGCCGACCGUGUUCUUCCAGAUGAUGACGAGCCUGUGUCUAAAAACAAAACUAGAGUGGCAGGGUUUAAGAAACUUGCGAACAACUCUUUCAAGAAGGAGGAUUAUUUUUCUGCAGCAGGAUCCUACAGUGUGAGAAGAAGCGGCAAAGAAGUCGGGUACAAUGCCUUUCGGCCAUCACAACGCUAA